AUGAAGGUUGACCUGUGCAGUUUCAGCAGGUACAAGAUCUACCCCGGACACGGGAGGCGCCACGCCAGGACCGACGGGAGGGUUUUCCAGUUUCUUAAUUCAAAAUGCAAGUUGGCGUUCCUUUCCAAGAGGAAUCCUCCGCAGAUAAACUGGACUGUCCUCUACAGAAGGAAGCACAAAAAGGGGCAGUCGGAGUAAAUUCAAAAGAAAAGAACCCACCGAGCAGUCAAAUUCCAGAAGACCAUUACGGUGUAUCUCUUGCUGCUAUAAUGGCCAAGAGGAAUCAGAAACCCGAAGUUAGAAAGGCUCAAAGAGAACAAGCUAUCAGGGCUGCUAAGGAAGCAAAAAAUGGCUAAGCAAGCAUCUAAAAAGACUGCAAGGGCUGCUGCUACGGCACCUACAAAGGCAGCACCUGAGCAAAAGAUUGUGAAGCCUGUGGAAGUUUCAGCUCCCCGAGUUGGUGGAAAACACUAA
rnacentral:lncRNA from 1 species